AGGUUUAUGGUCUGUAGCUAACAGACUGUCAGACAGAAUAAUAUAAAUAUCACCAGGAAAUCAUUUAAAGUUGACUGUUACCUUAUGUGAUUUCCCUAAAUCUGUGAGUUGAUCAGUGACAACGCCUGGACAAGAUGGCUUCUGUAUACAUGUUGUCUGGAGAAUACCAAGAUCAGAUCGAACACAUCCACAAACAACUACAACAUAAACUAGUUGGGAAUCAUGUACUAAUUGGGUCACAUUCACAGAACAUUGGUUGUCUGAAUGUCAAGACUAUUACAGAGGUAUACCUCCAGUUACACAACCAGUACAAGUUGUAUCGCAAUGAACGGGAAACCAUGCUUAAUCAGGAGGAUCAACUCAUUAUAGUACAGCUCUGCAUGGCUGAAAGAAAUAAGAAGGAAUUUGGAUCAUUUGAAGUCGAUGUCAGUGCAGUGCUUGAAGCCCAUACAAAGUUGACCAAACACAUGCUUAAUCCUACUGAAUAUGAACUGUCUGAUGACCUGAGGCCUGUUAGUGACUUAUAUGCAAGUUUCAUGAAGGAAUGUAAUAUGUUAGACUGGUACACAUUGUUCAGCAGAGUAAAAAAAGCCAUGGAAAGUGAUGAGAAACUCAAAGAAAAUCUUGCCUCUAUGAGUGUCUUAGCAUGUGGAAUCCCCCGAAGUGAAAUUGAGAAAGCAAUGUUUCUACAUCUAUGCACUGAUAAGGCAUGUGAAGCUGUAGAGGUAGAGACACCCUUGGAUGGCUCAGCCAGUGAUGUUAAAGUUAACUUAUUGCCUACUUCAUUGAUAGAGGGACUGGAGAAAGAUGUAAACGCAAACUCAGCCACCCACCCUCAGUCAGUCACAGAGAUUUAUGCAACAAGUGUGUUCCUGGCAUACAUCCAUCUGCUGGUGAAUUCUCGGAGUGAGUUGUCUCUUGCCAGAGCUGUAAAUGUCCCUGAUAGGGGAAUCGACCAUGCUGCCUUCACAGACCUUAAGAGGGUAUCUAAGCAGAAAAAUAUGCCAAUGUAUCAGACUGCAGCCUCUUAUAUCAUGAGGAUUCGCCUUGGUGGUAAAAGUUACGCCCCUGACGUUAACUGUCCAUUGAGGAACCAUGUGAAAGGACUUGGGGAAUUCACUGACUUCCUUCAUAAGCUGCAAUGUAUCGUUGAAGAGAACCCAAAUACAAGUGCUGCGGUGAGGAAAGUAAUUAACAACAUUAAGAUUGUUAUCCUAAAAAGUAGAGAUACAGGACUAAGAGCAGUUAGUGUAGAAAAUGUAGCCAACUGGUUGAUGAAAGUAGCCCAGGACUUGAUUGAUGAAACAUUAUCCAAAACAGAUGGUAGCAGUCCCAGUAGGGCUGUUAGUGAGGGAGGGAGUACAGUUGGAAGAAAAACUCUCAACAUUCUUCGCUUUAUCAUCAAUCAAGCAUCCUCCCAGCCAGAUACUUCCAACCAUGUUAGCCUUCUAACUGAUCACUUCUCAAGCCAGAAAACUCCAGUGCGUUUCCCAUCUCUCAUGUCAAAAUUCAGAUCACCAGAGGCUGAUGCUGAAUCUCCAGAACAUGCAGAGAAUAAGUCCCUCUUGGACCGAGCAGUCAGUAAUGUUUUAUCUGGCUCUUGUGAUGAGAAGGCACAGGGAUUGCCUAGGUUCAAGUCUUGCAUGGACUGGGCGAAACCUCUUCAUGAUGUAGGCAUUAGGAGUACCACCGGUGAUGAUAUAUACCCGCUACAAAGUGAUACCUUCAUACAAUGUAAGACUGUGGUCCACUCUGGAGACAACUCCUCCAUGUCCAAAAAAGCAAAGAGAGUGUUAGAGUCCCUACAUGACCAAGAGAACCAGGAGACGUCAACUGAGAAUGCAAUCACUGAGAAAACAAAUAACGAUGCUACAGCCAGUUCUGUAAAUAAUAUAAACAAAGAUAAUGGUGCUCCUAUUCGAAGUAAAUCAAACAAUGCAGGAAAGUCAGACAAUGCAGGAAAGGGCAAAAGAAAAUUGCCUGCAUCAUCUAGUCAGCCAGCGAAGAAGGUGAAAAAAUCAGCGACAUCAAAAUCAUCAAAACUCAAGGAUAAACCAUUGCUGAAGGGACAACAAGUAAUGACACAGUUUUUCAGAUUAUGAUUAGUUUUGGAAAUGACUACAUCUGAUGUAAAGUAUAGGUUUAUUCAAGUUGUAAUGACAGUGAACUCAUGUCUUAGUAUUAUUACAUAGGAAAAUGAUCUACAGUACUUGUAUGUUUUUAUUAUGUAUAUUUAUGUAAAUUGUUUUAUUUGCAGUGGACUACUUAUUGUGAAUCAACAUUUACUUAAUGUGUUAAGGUGCUUAUUUUUUUGUGAAGCCACU
rnacentral:misc_RNA from 1 species